GACGAACGCUGGCGGCGUGCUUAACACAUGCAAGUCGAACGGAAAGGCCCCUUUGGGGGUCCUCGAGUGGCGAACGGGUGAGUAACACGUGAGUAACCUGCCCUUGACUUCGGGAUAACUUCAGGAAACUGGGGCUAAUACCGGAUAGGAAUCCUUGCUGCAUGGUGGGGGUUGGAAAGCUUCGGCGGUUUUGGAUGGACUCGCGGCUUAUCAGCUUGUUGGUGGGGUAGUGGCUUACCAAGGCUUUGACGGGUAGCCGGCCUGAGAGGGCGACCGGCCACAGUGGGACUGAGAUACGGCCCAGACUCCUACGGGAGGCAGCAGUGGGGAAUAUUGCACAAUGGGCGGAAGCCUGAUGCAGCAACGCCGCGUGCGGGAUGACGGCCUUCGGGUUGUAAACCGCUUUCAGCAGGGGCGAAGCUUGUGGUGACGGUACCUGCAGAAGAAGCACCGGCUAACUACGUG
rnacentral:rRNA from 1 species